UACAGAGGGGGCAAGCGUUGUUCGGAAUUACUGGGCGUAAAGGGCGCGUAGGCGGCCUGCUAAGUCGGACGUGAAAUCCCUCGGCUUAACCGGGGAACUGCGUCCGAUACUGGAUGGCUUGAGUUUGGGAGAGGGAUGCGGAAUUCCAGGUGUAGCGGUGAAAUGCGUAGAUAUCUGGAGGAACACCGGUGGCGAAGGCGGCAUCCUGGACCAACACUGACGCUGAGGAGCGAAAGCCAGGGGAGCAAACGGG
rnacentral:rRNA from 1 species